CCUGUGGGGAAAGAAAGUGUCCAGUCAGCAGGGUGUCAUAUCUCAGUCACCACCCCUAUCCUGAGCUUUAAGACCAACACACCACCACCACCACUACCACCAACACCACCACCACCACCACCACCACCACCACCACCGUCUAUGACAUCACAGCCACUUAGCAGACUUAAAGGAGAAGGGGAAGGGAAGCAGCCCGUUAGACACAUUGAGUGAGAUUCAGACUCCCCUCCCAUUCUGACCAGAAUUUUUAGUCUUGACUUUCCAGAAGAGAGAACAGAAACCAUUCAAUAUCUAGAACCAUUUCAAGAAAACUAGAUAUUUACAGAACAAGAAACGAGGCAAACUAUUCCAUUUUUCACAUUUAUUUCUUGUGAGUGUGUAUAUACACAUACACACACCUGUGCCCUUAGACUUAUGCACACAUGUCACAGAUGUUAUACAUCCUGAACUCUUUAUUAAUGUCAGACCAAGCAUGAGGAGUAAAUGUGUCUGGAGGGUAAGGGAGACAGAUGCUGAAUAGCCCUGCUCUAAGCAACACUGUAAGGAAUGACUGUACUGCACAGCUUUAGAAGUUAGGAGAGUCAGAGUGGACAGAGGGACCACACGGAUCAGGUAAAGAAACAGUUGUGGUAUGCAACAGAUCUUGUCUGUCCUGUGAGCCUGGGAGCCUCUGAAGUAUCCAUACACUGCCACCUUCCAGCCUGUGCCACCCAGAAUGCACACCAUGUGGAGAAGAUCAAUCUGUGUGCUGCUGAGCAAGAACGCAGAGAACCAGCAGCAGGACUGGCCCACCAGCGUGAUGAUUGCCGCCUGUGUUUCUGCCACCUAGUUCUACCCUCGGGGCUUGGCCACCUUCCCAUAAAAACAGAGAAGGCCCUGAGUGGGAGAUGUGAGACUAGCAUUGCUUCUUAUUAUUAGCAUAUAUUAAUUGCAUAAGCUAAUUGAUUUCACGAUGAGAUUUUCAUAGUUUUGCAUCCUAUACUUUGAUCAUAUCCUCUGACUAUUAACCUCUCGUGUUCCCAACACGUCCUGCUGGCCACUGGUUCCCUUCCCGUCCUCAAAUACACCCCUUCUGUGUUCAUGAGAGAUAGAUACUACUGGAGACUAUCAUUUGUACGUGGGGUGCCUUUGUUCUUCUUCAUGCAGGAUGCGGGGGUCUAGACUGAGGGCUAAAUCAUGAUGUCACUGUAGUUUGGAUUUUAUCUGAGUGUGUCCCCCAGUGGCUCAUACAUUGUGAGCCCAGUACCUGGUGUGGCAAAGCUGAGAGGUGAUGGAAUCUUUAUGAGGCAAAGUCAUAUGGAAUUUGGUCUGGUUGUUGGGGAUGCUCUCCUUGGAAGGGCUUAUGGGAUCCCAGUCAGCUUCUGUGUGAGUGAGUUAUAACCCCUGAGUCUGAGUUCUUCUCAUCAGCCAUGAGGUCACUCCUUCAUGGAUACUUUCCUGCCAAAUGCUGUCUGCCAUGUUGUGAUACAGCUAGUAGCCUUUACAAGAGCCAAACAGAAGGCAGCUCUGUUCUCUUAGAUCUCCAGAACAGUUAGGUACAGAGACCUCUCUUCUUUAUAUAGUACUCAACCUUGGGAAGUUUGUUUAAGCAAAGGAAAGCACACUAAGAUAGACAUCAGUCCUAGAGGAAACAAAUGGAGAAGCCACGGUGUGUCCACUUCUCCUCCCUUGUUGGGACUCUAAAUAGGGCCUACGUAAGGAUCAACAGAUUUUGGACAAGUGAUCAGAAUAACACUGAGUGCCUAAAACUCAAUGACCUAAUUCACGAAGCCACCAUCCCUGCAUACACUAAAGAGACAAAGAUGAUGGACGAUUAUUCUGGCAGAUUCGGAUACUUCCGUGGUCGAAUCAUUAUUGGAUUGGUUUGCUUUUUGAACGUCGUCGGUGAAAUGGAAUCUGUGUGCGAAUGCAUCAGGAGCUCUGGAUGCAUUCACUGGAGGGGGUAAUCUGAGUAGUACUAGAAUUUCAAGAAGUCUGGGUCGUUCUACAGCCUUAGUUGAACUCCAUGGAAGUUUUGUCAAGAAGUCAUAUCGCCUCCACUGUACACAUGGGGAAGUUAAGACCCAGCCAAUCUGAAAGAUCUGCAUUCAGACCAAGCUUCCAAUGCACACAGUGUACUCUGAAUCUUUAAUUCCCCAAAUGUGCACAGGGACUUCCCUAGUUAGUUUCAGCUGUUGACUUCAUGCAAACUAGAGUCACUCAGGAAGAAGCCAUCACAAGUGAGACAUUGCCUUCAUCGGACUGCCUUGGAUGUAGCAGGUCACGCCCUGCUGAGGGUGGUGCCAUUACCUAGGCAAGUAGUUAGGUCUGAGCUACACUACAUAAGGAAGCUAGCUGAGCCAGCCAAAGGGGAAGGAAAACAGCAGGAAUCCAAAAAAGCCAUGCAAUACCAAAACAAGAAUCAAGGUUAAGUGUAAAUUUUAGCACACGGUGGUGAGAUCCUUGAUUCUCAAAUGAAAGGUGUUCAAGACAUUUUUACACACCCUACCAAUUUCUGAAUCAAGGCAAAUCCCAGUUUCUGUCUCCCAUCAGCCUAUUUGAGGCCCCUUAUAUGGAACUGCCUUGUGUAUGUUGAUGUCCGCUGUCUUUUGAUGAGAGAAUGACAGCAAUGGGUUUCAAAUAAGCCACAGUAAAGAACACCACAGAAUACAUCACUCUGCACAUCCAGGUCUCACACUUGGACAACAGAAGGGGCUGAGAGGCACCACUCCGCUUAGGAGCCUUCUAAUCCUGUCUCUGAGGUAGAUAGAGACAGAGCAAAAACUUCACAUACAAAUGGGGCACAUUAUGGACGGGGAUGAAGCUGGUUCAGGCAUCAGGGGGACAGGGCUGUCCCUCAGUUGCCUACAAACUUCCAUCUAUCCAUAGUGUGAUGAAAGAUUGGCCAAGGUACCCAACCAUACUGUAGGAGACCACACAUGAGCUGGUGACAGGUGUUCAUGAGUUGCAGAUAAUGACUACCGAUCUCUUUAAAGCACAGUUGGGUCCAACAGUUUUAAGCCUAAGAAGGGUCUGACCCAUUAGUUCCCACUGGACAGACCAAUCAAGGUGGUGGCAGUGAGCAGCAGCACCCCACAUUGGGGACAGCCUAUGGUCGGGUACGAAAAUGAAGGGCCCUUGGUCGGAUACCUUCACUUGUUUUCUGGUGUCUUCCUUCUCUAUAGGAGUGGUCAGGUUUAGGUCUGGCAAUGAGUUUGGAAUCAGAUUACCACUUCCCAACUUGGUUGCUGCUUAACAGUAGAAGGAAUUGUCCCUCUCUGUCUGAUCUGGAUCCAUUAACUGGAUCCCCCUCCCCCAGUUCCCCAUUCCCACGGCCUUGAAAGUGAGAUGUUUCAAGUUCAGAGGAACCAAUGUCAGUGGAUGCGUUUCAUUGGAAUGACGUUUUGCAAACGCAGCUUGAGGCUUGCUGAGCACAGAAUCCCCUGCUAGAAGGAGCUCCUGCAGAUGGCAGGACUGGAGAGAGCCUGAGUCCAAACAGCCUUGUGAGACCGUGCAGGUUGUUGAAGAACCAGUAAGGAUUCCAGUAAGUCACCUAAGAGGCCCUCUUUCUAUCCCUCUCUCCCCUACCUCAGAGAUUACCACCCCCUGGCCAUGUACGAUGUCUCUCUACUCUCCAACUGCUCUCUACUACUCCUUCCCUUGGGGUCUUUACACAGCCCUCCCCCACCAUCCCAGUGUGUUCUUCCAUUUCUGCCUUCACCUUAUCCUUCAGCAUAGGAUACCUCUGCUUCUGGAAUGACUUCUUGAUUGUUCUAAACCCAUCAUUGUGGCUGUCAAAGACGUGACUUCAGUCCCACUCUUAACGUCAAAAGCUGAGCAAGUAAAAUAGCCAUGCCUGAUCCUCUCCAAGAAGACUAGUAACACCAUGAGGACAGGGGCCCUGGGGUUUUGUUGAGGGAGGGGUGGUUCAUUUGUUUGCUUGCUUGCUGGCUUGUUCUGAUAUUGCUGUUAGCUAUUACGACAUGACUCAAGCUCAUCACAGACAUCAGUAUUUUUCUAGCAGCAGAUAUGAGUGAAACAUGCAAGAGCCAUAACA